UACGAAGGGGGCUAGCGUUGCUCGGAAUCACUGGGCGUAAAGGGUGCGUAGGCGGGUCUUUAAGUCAGGGGUGAAAUCCUGGAGCUCAACUCCAGAACUGCCUUUGAUACUGAGGAUCUUGAGUUCGGGAGAGGUGAGUGGAACUGCGAGUGUAGAGGUGAAAUUCGUAGAUAUUCGCAAGAACACCAGUGGCGAAGGCGGCUCACUGGCCCCGAUACUGACGCUGAGGCACGAAAGCGUGGGGAGCAAACAGGG
rnacentral:rRNA from 1 species